GACGAACCGUGCGAACGUUAUUCGGAAUCACUGGGCUUAAAGGGCGCGUAGGCGGGCCAGCAAGUCAGGGGUGAAAGCCCACGGCUCAACCGUGGAAGUGCCUCUGAUACUGCGGGCCUCGAGGGAGGUAGGGGCGUGCGGAACUUCCGGUGGAGCGGUGAAAUGCGUAGAUAUCGGAAGGAACACCAGUGGCGAAGGCGGCGACCUGGACGGACACUGACGCUGAGACGCGAAAGCGUGGGGAGCAAACAGG
rnacentral:rRNA from 1 species